GGGGUGGGAAGAAAACUUUUCCUCUGUCACCUUAGGUUCUGAAGGUUGGGGAGAUGCAAAUUAGCUGACAACAGACCAGGAGAGAAGACAAGGUUUCUUCAGAUCUGCAUGAAUACAGAGGCAGGUGGCAAUUAUCAGUCACCUGCUGAAUAGCUGGAAGCAAAUAUUGAUAUAGCAAAAAUGUGUGGGAGGAGGUGAGAGCUUCAAUGGAAAAUGGGAGAGACUCUACUGGGUUCUUUAAUGCCACUGGAGAGCUGAAUUCACACUUCCCAGGGCUAAAGUUCUCUCAUGAAAAUGCUAAAGAAACAGAAAAUGCCUUUCCAGGAAUUGUCAGGGAUCUAACUACAGAUGCGACUCAUUCAUUUAGAACAAACAAUCCUAGAAACACAUGCUGCUACAGACGCUGGAGCAAUGUGUGUAGACAUUUGAGCCAAAUUGUUAUAAAGAACUCUUUCUUCUCUGAUAUGAAAAAAGGAGCGAGAAUUGCACAUUGCCUAGCAAAUCGUUAUCUCAGAUGUUCGCUGUGA
rnacentral:lncRNA from 1 species